rnacentral:rRNA from 1 species
UCGGGCUACACGCGGGCUACAAUGGGUGGGACAAUGGGUAUCGACACCGAAGGUGAAGGCAAUCUCCUAAACCCAUCCGUAGUUCGGAUUGUGGGCUGCAACUCGCCCACAUGAAGCUGGAAUCUGUAGUAAUCGUGUCUCAAAAUGGCACGGUGAAUAUGUCCCUGCUCCUU